UCUUACUAUUUUCUUAAGGCUAUCCUCAAUGGAGGUUUCAUGAUCCAGUUUCUAAUACAUCAAUAUUUUGGAAACAGUGCACAAGAGUUUCAUGGGGAUGAAACUCUCUCUACUCACAUGAAACUCUUAUCAUCUCUCUCUUCAUUAAUAUAGUGCCACAUCAGCGUAUUUAAUGUGCAUGAAACUCUAAUGAAACACCCAUUGAGACUGACCUUAGUAGGUGUGUGUAUAUCUUCUUAGACUAUAUUUAACUAUUUCUGUUUAGGAGUUCAAUUAAUAUAAAUUAAUUAGUGGCACGUGACAUCUCCUCGUAGCCAUUGGAUCGGAAUACGUGGCCCGCCGCGUCCAGGCCGCAAGGAACCGGGUGGACGACGACACGACCUGGUGCGGUCCGCGAUCGAGUAUACAGUAUACACUAAACUACCAC
rnacentral:lncRNA from 1 species